rnacentral:tRNA from 1 species
GGCCGGUUGGCCCAAUGGCAAGGCGUCUGACUACGAUUAAACAUGUUAUCAGGAGAUUCUGGGUUCGACCCCCAGGCUGGUCA